rnacentral:rRNA from 1 species
ACGGGUGAGUAAUGCCUAGGAAAUUGCCUUGAUGUGGGGGAUAACCAUUGGAAACGAUGGCUAAUACCGCAUAAUGCCUACGGGCCAAAGAGGGGGACCUUCGGGCCUCUCGCGUCAAGAUAUGCCUAGGUGGGAUUAGCUAGUUGGUGAGGUAAUGGCUCACCAAGGCGACGAUCCCUAGCUGGUCUGAGAGGAUGAUCAGCCACACUGGAACUGAGACACGGUCCAGACUCCUACGGGAGGCAGCAGUGGGGAAUAUUGCACAAUGGGCGAAAGCCUGAUGCAGCCAUGCCGCGUGUAUGAAGAAGGCCUUCGGGUUGUAAAGUACUUUCAGUUGUGAGGAAGGGGGUGGAGUUAAUAGCUGUAUCUCUUGACGUUAGCAACAGAAGAAGCACCGGCUAACUCCGUGCCAGCAGCCGCGGUAAUACGGAGGGUGCGAGCGUUAAUCGGAAUUACUGGGCGUAAAGCGCAUGCAGGUGGUUCAUUAAGUCAGAUGUGAA